UCUCCGUUGGUGAACCAGCGGAGGGAUCAUUACAGCGCAUAGACGUCAACGCCGGGGGCAACCCCGGCGGUCUUGUCCUGCACACCUGUUGUCUUACCGCCUGCCGGGCCGUGUUGCCUCGGCGGGGUGUCUGCCGGCGGUCUCCGCCGGCGGCCGCGCCCCGCCGCAGGUACCGCCCACAAAAACCUCUGUAAUACUAUAUGGAACCUCUGAGAAAGCUUAUAAAUAAGUCAAAACUUUCAACAACGGAUCUCUUGGUUAUGGCAUCGAUGAAGAACGCAGC
rnacentral:misc_RNA from 1 species